GUUAAUGUUCAUUGGGUUGUUUGAUUCAUAAUUAUGUAAUUUUUGAUCUGGUUGUGUGUAUAGCUCGUAGAUGGGAGGAUCGCCUCACUAAGUAUUUAUUAAAAUAUGUAUGCAUCUCUUUCUUGGUGCAGGUAUAGACAAACUGUGACGUGGAAUCAUGGCGAGGAGAGGAUGAUGAUCAAAGUCUCGGUUUUCGUGGUCAUUGUGGGUC
rnacentral:sRNA from 1 species